ACAGUUUGUUGAAAACAUAUUGCCUGUUAAAAUUAUUUUAUUUAUUACCAAUGGUUAAUUAGCCUACAUAAACCAGAAACAGAAAGUAUUAAUGAGAACGUUGUUGCUGUUCUCCUUUCAGCUUUUUCACAGUUUUUACGCCGGAUGCCCUACCUGACGCAACUCUAUCCAAUUUUAUCCUGGCUUGUGACCAGCACUGAGAGCGCACUGCUGCACGCAAGCCCAGUGCCUGAGGUUGGUUGGACCCUAGAAGUUAUUAAUGAGAAUAAAAGGUGUCUGAGGACUUACUGUGAUUGGCCACUGCAGAACAGUCAUUACAGACACAGCCCAGAGGUUAAAUAGACACUCCAAAACUCAACCAUGCAAAAUUGUCGAGUGGAAUAUUUAUGGAAACAUUCUAUUUGAAUGAGGCCUGCCCUUUUCUGCAAGGAAACGUAAUCCAUCCAGGACACACAGUGAAUAAGUAUACAGAAAAUGUUAUCUUUCUGCACAGUUAAAGUAAAAAUUAAUGCACCUUUUGACAAAGAAUAAGAUGAAAAGUCAGGUUUCCAAAGACAUGUAAAUGUUUGUUAACAGUGGCUUGCUAAAUGUUGUUAAAUGGAUAAAACUUUCAUGGCAUCUUUUCUUCCUCAGAUACGAGUACAAAUUAGUUCCAACACACACACACACACACACACACACACACACACACACACACAUACACAUGAAUACAAAACCGACACUCACACAAAUAUACACUCGUGUCAAGAGUGCUAUUGUACCGUGCCCUCAUCUGACUCCAUUAACGGAAAGUGGUUGGGAUCGUGACCUACACAUCAUUAACAAGGUAAACAAUCUGCCAGCGUAGCACAGACACCAGACCCUGAUGUCAAUGUAAUGUCAGAGCAUAGCAGAGUUGUAAUUAAACUGAUUUGAUUGCAUGUAAAGAGGUCCUGCUUUUCAAGGAUGAGAAAACAGGGGAGGACACCAAGUAAUUUCAUAUAUAUUGUGUAGGGUCGAGCAGAAACUCAGCGUAUCUGCUCUCUAGUUUUUCCAUAAGAUGCCUCUCUCUCUUUCUCUCUCUUAUUCAUUCAUACAUUCAGCCACUCCAAAAACAAUAUACAACAAAACUAAAAAAAAAAAAAGCUUUCAUUAAUACUACAGUAGAGUAAUAGUGAUGAACAAAUCUUUAGUUAUUCCAAAUUUAAGUUUUAUCUCCUGGGAUUUUCACACACAACAGUCUCUAGAGUUUAUAGGUUUUACUAAUAAAGUGGAUGGAGAGUGUAUGUUUAAAAAUAUUUAAUUUUUUAAGGACAGGUGAGAGGUAUAACUUUCCAACAGAGAUAUAAGCUAAGUGCAUUCAUUACAUAUAGUCAUGUAUCUCCAUACAUGUAUUACAUGCCUGUGCAUGUUGAUAUGCUCUUAUACGUGUCUACUAUACUGACAAUAUACGUACUGCUGCAUGAAUAAUCCUUGUUGUAACUAUCACAUUAAUUACUGCAAAUUUGGUUUAAUUUAGCAAUAUGGUUUAGACCCUCACUAUUCAGCAGAUUUAAAAUAGCACUUGAUCCAGUAUAUCCUAUUAUUUAAUAUAAUUCUUUUUCUAUCACAUGCCAAUAGUUACUCAUAAAGCACACAUACACUAAAUCAAGGUCAUAAAAUCAUAAAGUCUGUCUAUUGGAUGAAGGCUAUUUUUCACAGUUUUAAUUUGUGAUUAGUAAUUUGAGUUGUUGAAUUAAUAAAACAAUGCCAAUGUUUUUGUUAAUUUGAUGUACUCUCCUAUAAAGAAAAUAUGCCUUGAAACUGUUUAAAUGAUAACUGACUGAGCAUUCAGCCUCAUAUAUGGCUCACUUUAAUUACGUAUAAUUCAGAAUUUUAUCCAUAAAAAAUUUGGUUCUCAAAAUGAGUAAUAUCUCUGAUUAAGAUGCUGUUUCCUCCAAUGUCCUCCAUGUAAAAUGUCAUAUUUAUGUAUUUAAUAUUGGUCUCAAAUACCAUUUCAUAAUUUUUUUAGUGGUUUUACAGCCCAAAAUAUACAUUUCAGCUUGACAUCAAACUGUCAGACAGUGCUGCUGGACUUAAUACUGCUUCUCACUUAAGCUAUUAUUGCGCAAGAUAAAUGGCUUAAGGUCUAUAUAUGUACGUAAUUGUAGCUCAUAAUUUUAUCCAAACAAAUUUUGUUCCUCAAGAUUAGCAAUGGUUGUGAUUAGGAUGCUGUCUCUCCUAUGCAAGUAUAAGGUCAGAAUUACGUGUAACUAAGACACGCCUCCGCUUUCAGAACACUGAGUAGUGCAUACCUCUUUAGUUACUCCUCACUAUGUGUGUGUAACUAAAUGGCCCAUGUGCAAACUUCACUGCACACUUGUAUGAAGCUACAUCCAAAAGUAUGAAACACUACAGUACACUUUAAACCACCAAAGAAACCUCCAAAACAAUUCUGUACUGUACUAAAUGGUAUGCAACCAAAUACACACACAUACAGUAUAUACAUUCUAUAAUGCUAUAGUAUAUUACUGUACUAAACAACAUACCACCAUGGUAUAUCACCAUAUUAUUGCUUUUUAAAGUAUAUUUCAGUCAGGAGUGGCUCAUGCCCAUAGAUUUUGCUGGGGCACCACAACAUUAAUAACAACAGAUUCACAAACAAAAUUAUGCUGAGAGACUAUUAUGCUUUAAUGCUAUAGGCUGCAAUCUAGUGAUUAUUUUGAGUAACCCCAUAAUAAGAAGUAACUAUGUACACCAUUUUUCAGUGAGAGAACAGAAAGAUGUCUAAAAAGUCUAAAAGCACUAACAAAUAGACAAAAAAUACAAUACCAUUAGUUCCUCAAUCCAAACAUCUUUGAUACAAUAUUGCCACCUCACUGUUCAAUUUGCCUAAUUUGUUAUUGAAUGUUAGCUCAUCAAUCUUUCAGAUGUGUACUGUAUAUUUUUCUAUCAUAGCUUUAUUGAAAUCAAAUGUAAUGAAAUGAAAUCAAUUGGUGCAGUUAUGAUGGUUUCUGGCUGCUGAUAAUUGUAAUCCAAUGAUACAUUAAUAACCUCGCUAGGUACAUAGAUAGCUAGAUAACAGAUUAAACUUGCUAAUCAUAUCCUUUCUAAUUCAUGUGUGUUUGAUCCCGCAGAUGUGGUCCCGUUGCCGCAGUGUGUGAGACGAACACAGAAGAGGUAAUAUCAUUAACUGUCUUGUUAGCUACCCCUCCCCCACACAGAAUGUUCAUAGAGUGAGCAUGGGGCAUCGUGAUUCCUGCCCCAGUGGGCCAAUGUUAGCUUGCAUUGCUGUUCCCAUUUGUUCCCAUUUUUGACCACUAGUUGCAAUAAUAGCUCUACUGAACUAAACAGGGCACACAGCAUGCUCCCCCAUGAUUGUGCAACAUUUAGGAAUGGUAAAUAAAUCAAUAGAACAUCAGCUUAUAUCCGUCAAAUAACAUUUUUUAAAUCAUUGGAGUAAAUGCCACACAGACAGUCACCUGGGCUCAGGAUUGAACCCUGGAGCUUUGAGGAGCACUCCACUAUGCGUUUGUAUCAUAUAAUGUGAAUUGUAUUAUUCUAUUAAGCAAAGAAAAUGAGGAAGUGGUAUAAAAUUUUAUAAUAAAUAUUUUGUUUUAGACCUGUUUUUAUUUACUGAAAAAAAAUAACCAGUAGUCAUUUCUUGGCAUUUAUAUUCUGCUGGACAAUAUGUCAUAACCUGAGGGAGCCACAGAAUAAUCUCCUUACAGGAAUAUCAACUGAGGACACUUUGUGCUUGUUUGACGUGAAUUUGAUGUAUAAAUAAAGAAAUAUGUGGAAAUGAAGUAUGCCAUUAAUGAUGUGCAUUUAUCCAUAGUGUUCUUCCUAAAACUUUGAUGUUAUUUUAUGUGUUGUUCAACUUAGGUUUACUUGUAGUCAUUACUAAUGUAUAACAUGCAUUACUAGAACACAUUGACAAUUGAUGUGUAGUGAGAUUACUGUUAUAGGUUACCAUAGGUUACCCUAUAGCAUAGGUUACCCUCAAAACUUCAGUAGGGAUAAUAUGAUUUGCAAAAAAAUUAGACUUGCAGAGGGUGUGAAGCAGUCAGCAAGCUCCGCCUCUUGCUAACUGCAGUUCCUGACUUCAGGAGGCACUGUAGCGCAACCAGUUCACACACACAAACUGUCUGGAUAAUGUGUCAUGGAAUAAAGAUUGAAAAGGCAUGAGGCACCUAGUAUUUACAGCCUCACCAACAUCACUAUCAUCACCCUGGUGGGGAGAUUGGUUGUCACAAUAAUGCUUUUGUCCCUUGAAGUUAGUGUGAACUUGAACUUGGUGUGCCACCAAGAGAAGGUGUCUCUCCUUUUCUUUUGGUUUUUGUUUUUCCUCUAGCAAAUGACUAGAAAAAAAUUCCAAGCACGACAUCACUCUCUCUUGACUCAUCCUCCUGAAAUGAAAAGAAAUAUGGGAAUAACCCCAGAGAAUAUUUAAUCAUGCUCUGGCCCUGGAGCUCUCCACGAGGGAAGCUCCCCUGAGCCAUCCCCAACCACUGUCUAGUGGCACAAUUCAGGAAAGAUUACACUGGGGGCUUGUCUUGGAUGCAUUUCACCUACUCUGGUGAGUCAGUGCAAAUCUACUGGAAUAUUUAAAACAUAAAAAGAAACAGACUUAGAUAAAGUAGCAGCUGAGCUUACCAGAUGUUUAGCUAUGGGCUAACAAGAGGGACAAAGUGCCAGUUUUAUUCAAUUCCACACACUUCCUGUUCACAGACUGUAUAAAGCAUAUCCAAACACACACUUGUCUACAAAACCUGUGUCUUUAGGUUCUGAGCCUUUUUUUUAUGAUUGCCAUUCUUGUCUUUGACAGUACGCCAGUCAAAGCUGCUUACCAACCUUAUCCAUAUCAUAUGCCAAUUCCACUGUUUUUCACUCAAGACACACAGCCCACAGAAAAUCAGUGCACACAGUCACCACAGUGCCAUGGUUGUAGGCAUUAUGAGGCUUAGCUCAUUUAGGGUAAUCCUGAGAGUGCACUGUCUUCUUCCAAGUAUGCAGGAUCCAGACACCCAGCCUAGACAUAAGCAUUAUGUCAUCUUAUUUUGGUAGCAACAAUGAAAAUGCCACUCACCACUUUGACAGCUGUGCUAAACAUAACCAUUGUCCAGACAAGAUAAUGCCUGUCCAGGUGAUGUUCUGUUUAGUUGGACCUGCAGGGGAAGUGGUCCACAAAAACCCCAGAUCUGCAUAUUGGAACUACACAUGCCAAAUAGAGGAAGUUGAGGCUGUAUACGGGCCACCCUCAGAACAUGCUUCUGCUAUCAAGUAGUAUCAAGUUGAAAGAGAGAAUGCAAAAGCCAUGUGAACUGCUACGUGCACUCAGGGAUGAGGUGUCUAUUGUGUAUGCAGAUCAUUCCAAGGGAGAACAAGAUAGCAUAGUUGUGGAAGUGUUUACUAACACAGAUGAUGCCGAUAAUGUACAGUAGCUACUGGACACAUUGGCAAGAGCAUACAAGCUUGAUAACAGACAUGAGAUGAGAAGACAUGCAGCUGUUAGUGUCAGUUUGACUAAUGUGCCACAGAGCAGAGUGUCCAUGUGGACUCUGGUAUUAGAGCACUAAAUGGCACUUCUUGGUUAUAUAAACUCCAUUUUCUGCAUGCCUGAUAUGGUCAUAAACUGCCCUUUGAAGCUCACUUUAGGUUAUCUGCAAGAUAUCAGACAACUAGCAUGGUCAGCAAUCUACAACACACAAGACUCCAGGCCACUCUGCUCCAAGCGGGGCAGAGCCAGAAAACACAAGACUGUCCCUCCAGGACAACUUGGGAAAAUGGGACAAAAAGCUAUCCUGGUAUCUGGCAUUAUAUCAGCACUUUCCUUUCAAACACUUCAGAAACUUCCUCAGCACACUCAUAACCUCCUUUUUUCAUGUACUGUUUUGUGUUGUGUGAUAACUGCAUGCUUAAUGGAAGUGUAAUUCUUCUGUUUCCUUGAAAUGCACAAAUACCCCUGCAACUAUGCCAUGUUUGGUUUUAAAUUGACUAGCCACUGCAAAUUGCAAAACCAUUCUUAGGAUUUAAGUUCCACCAAUAUACAGCACCCCUGUUUCAUGAUACAAUCUCCAAAAAAAGUGCAAUCCUUGUUGGGAGGGUGUGAAUUGGAAUUCCACCUCAGGACUUCCCUUUGAACUACUGACAAAUCAGCUGCACUGAAUGAGGAGCAGCAGGAAAUCUGACCUACCUCAUCAGUCCUCCAUAUAAACCUAUUAGAUUUCCAUUCACCUGGAUCUCUGAUCGUCAGCUUCAGAGUCAUGUUUUCACUUUAAAGGGAAAGAUAAUAUUGUAUUAUAUCACCAAAAUAUCAGCAGAGUACACUAAAAAAGAGGUUAUUUGUUGUGUGAUAAUUACAACUGGUAUGUCUGCAUACCUGGUAUGUCUGCACCAUUGUACAAAGAAAAAUUCCAUGUACAUGUACUUGGCAAAAUAAAUUGAUUCUGAUUAUGACCCUGCAUCAAGGUCUCAUUCAUUCAUGAUCUCUGGACAAGCAGACUUAAUGCCACAGCUAGAUGUUCAGUGCAAUCCCUGCUGAUCUGUGCAACACUGAGUCCCAGGACUCUCUGUCUCUACGAUCUCCAUGGAACCACAACUGCCUAGACUGAAGAUACUGCACAAAUCUGAACCAACCAAGGAGACACCAUUACAGAGUGACUAUAAAGCAUCUCUCUAUACGAUCUUGAUUGCUAGCAUGGUUGUUUAGUUAUAAUUAGUUCAGUAAGUAGAUCCACGUUUUGCCCACUUUACAUAACACUAUUCAAACAGUUGCCUAAAUUCUUGGUGUAUGUCUGCCAUUGAGCUUCAUUCCACUUAACCAAUUGUCUUAUCUACGAGCUAUUGCUAGUAUAUUUGUACAUAGUUUCCAUCGUCCAUGGGCAUAGACCCAAAGUAGAUGUAAUGCGUAGCACACAAACCUGUUCUUGAAUCUGGAUUCAAAACACAUUGUACCUGGGAAUGCAUGUUUCUAUGAGCCAGUAAAGGGGGACAUCAUGCUGGGCCCAACUAAAGGGUUUAUUUUAAAACACUGCUUGUUAAUGGCAAGAACAGUACUCUAUGUCUCUACGCACUAAAGAACCAUCAAGUUCCCAUCAAGCUCUACAGCCUUGGAAUGAUAUCAGUAAAAGUGAAGAACCUGGGGACCCCUAGGUUGCCAAUAUAGUCAAGCCCUUUUUAUCUGCACCUUUCAUUAAGUCAUCAGUCACAGCUUAUCAGUUGAAUGCUUAUGGAUCACAUCCUGGAUGCAGUGGGAAUUUGCCUAGUGUACCUAGACAACAACAUAGUGCUGGGUAAAGAUGUCACUGCAAUACUUCAGCAUCUUUUACAAGUGGAAAGGGGCAGUGGUGGCUCAUUGAUUAAAGUGGUUACUAAGCAGAAAAUUGGUGGUUCAAACUCCAGCACAGACGAGCUGCCACUGUUGGGCCCUUGAGCAAGGCCCUUAACUCUCUCUGCUCCAGGGUUGCCAUAUCAUGGCUGCUCAGCCAGUUACCCCACACCAACUUAAAGUUGAAACCAGCUAAGUGCUGCCUGUUCAGCCAGCAGGUAACUGGCACUGAACACACAAUUUCAGAAAACAAUAUAAGCACAGACCCUCAAAAAGUUCUAGAGUGGCCCAUGUAGGCCUGGCUGUGUACUAUUGAUUAUUCAAGAUUAUUCAUGUAAUAUUUUGCUGCUUUGAUCGAAAUGCGUCAUGAACUCACCAAAAUAGUGAUCAUUUUCAGUGGACAUCUGAGUGCCAGGAAGCAUUUAAGUUGAAACAGUUAUCUACUUAUGCUCCAGUCCUAGGUUAUCCAUGUGAUCACAAUGACCUUAUCCUUGAAACAGUUGCUAGCAAUUUUGGUGUGGAAGCUGUCCUAUCCCUACGGAAAGAUGGUGCAGAGUGUGUGCUGUUGUACUACUGCACUACCCAGAGAGAACUAACGGCAGUAGUAGAGUUCACCAGGAUUUCUGCCAGUAUUUGCUGGGGAUGCCGUUUUCAUCCACACUGAGCACAGUAGCUUGUGCUGGCUAGUCAAGCUGAGGGAGACUGAAGGCCAGCUGGUAAUGUAGCUUGCCGCUUGCAGAACUUGACUUUAUUGUUGUAUAUUGGGGGGCAUGGUGGCUUGAUGGUUAGCAUGAUUACUAUGCACCUCCGGGGUUGGGGGUUUGAAUCCCGCCUCUGCCCAGGUUCCACGUAUAAUGUCAAUGUAUUGGAGAUGUAAACUACAAUUCAGAAAUGCAAACCUCUUUUAACUUGUUCCCCCAAAAAACUGAGAAUAAAAAGAAAAAUGUGUCUAACUUUUCCAAUGCCUAAACAUUUUGAGUUCGUUGCAAGACUUUGUGCAGUUUUGAGAUGUAGUCGGAGUGGAAAUUUUGCUGAAACCUGGCGAACCUCCCCAUGAGCUUCAGCAAACAUUUUUAAAGUUUCACACUAAACCAUAAAGUAAAAACCUCAUGCUUGCAUGACUUCUUUUGUUCUGUCCUGCUGGAUCUUGAUGCACAAACCUAAUCUCUAUCUUUCUGGUAUCUCAAAAAAAAAAAAAAAACUAACAAAAUUUCAAAUUCAUAUUCAUUUAGAAUGCAAUUUUUUCUUCAGUCCAAAUAAUGUAUUGGUAUUCAGUUAUUUCCCUAGUCUGUUUACAGCAGGGUUGUCAUGGAAACCUGUUUUACAAUGAUCAAACUGGUUUCAUAUUUUUAUGUCGCCUUGUAAUCAUCACCCACCACACAUUUCAAAAGCUGCUUAUGAGGUGAAAAAUACCUGUUCUGAAAAAUGUGAAAGUAUGUAUACUUCUGAAUUAUCUUCAUGUAGUUAUUUUUUUCCUCAUCAAUAAGUUGAAAUUUAAUUAGAUUUUAAAGCAAUUUAGGUCUAUACCUUGUAACAACUAAAUCAUUCCUAAGGAAGUUCUUUUAUAAAGUAGCCUACAUUUUGUCUUUUUUUCUGUUUUAUAGCUGUGCAGGAACAUAUGAUUUUAUGUGCAUGGCAAAUGACUAGUGACUAGAGACUGCCACGCUGCUCACAGGGUCUUAUACUUUUUGUGGCUUGCACCAUGUGGUUCAGGCUGAACUGCCAGUAGCCACUGUACAUUACCAUUAGCAUGUGACCUGCACUUGCACCUAGAGCUCAUACCAUCAUGGGCAGUCCCACUCCUUCUCUCACCACUCUCAUAUGACACAAACUUACUGCACUUUAUUUAUAUUGCCAUAUAACCGUUCACUGCAUACUGCAUUAUCACACUACCAAAUGACAGCCCACUUAUCUUUUGUACAGUGUUUCCUCAAGGUUUAUGUAUAUUAAAUAUUUUGUCUAUAUUGCAUAUUCCUCAUUUCUUAAAACAAAUAAACCUUUCAGAUCAAAUAGUUAUGAGCAAUUGCCACAUGAUUCUUGAAGCCAGCCACCCUAGGUCCUCAUGGGAUGAUUUUCAUUACUUUGUAUUAUGGGAUUUGAGAACAAUAAUAUGAAGAUAUGACCAAAUUGGCCAUUCCGUUUUAUAUGUGCAACAAUGAAAACUCAAGGGAAAAAUUCAGUCAAAUUGUUUUCCACAAGCUGCAUACAUACACCCUGUUUCCCAUACAACACCCUCCCAGGUACUCAUGGCCUGCACUUCGUGGUUUUUUUACUAUAUAAAUUUGGAAUGAUGGAAUAGCAAAUUUCUGCAUGAAGGCAACUCAAAUCACAAUAGUCCUCUUUUCUCAGAACUAAAUGAUUCAGAUCAAAUUAUCUUCAAAAUUAGAUUCUUGAAUUCAUGCCCUGGCAGUGCUGAUUGUUUUUUUGUUUUUUUUUUAUGUUUUGUUUUGUUUUGUUUUGUUUUAAUGUAGUGACUGGGAAUUUCUGAACAAAUUUCAUAUUCAAUUAAAAAAAAUAAAAACCAACUGUAUGAUAUACUAUUCUGUUUUUGUGAUAAUUUCUAUAAUCCUAAAUAUAAUCCAUUUAUAUCUCUAAUCAGAAAUAAUCCCAGGACUAAUGAUGUGCCCUUCAUUGUCAUCAUUUUUGAUUUUCCAAUCAACAGUUGUUUUGGAUUUUACCCAAAUACAUUAACAUUCAAAUAUGGUUUACUCUAUUAAAUGUGUUUUUGUAUCAUAAAACAAUCUUGUUUAAUAAACUGUUUAUGAAAAGCUGAAAUAUAUCCAUAAUCUGAUUUAAACCGU